rnacentral:rRNA from 1 species
GACGAACGCUGGCGGCGUGCCUAAUACAUGCAAGUAGGACGCAGUUGCGAACGGGUGAGUAACGCGUAGGUAACUACCUAUUAGAGGGGGAUAACUAUUGGAAACGAUAGCUAAUACCGCAUACUAGUAGAUGGACCUUCGUUUUAUUAGCUAGUAGGUAGGGUAAUGGCCUACCUAGGCAACGAUACAUAGCCGACCUGAGAGGGUGAUCGGCCACACGGGGACUGAGACACGGCCCAGACUCCUACGGGAGGCAGCAGUAGGGAAUAUUGGGCAAUGGGGGGAACCCUGACCGAGCAACGCCGCGUGAGUGAAGAAGGUUUUCGGAUCGUAAAACUCUGUUAUUAGGGAAGAGGUACCAAAUCAGAAAGCAACGGCUAACUACGUGCCAGCAGCCGCGGUAAUAC